rnacentral:rRNA from 1 species
UACGUAGGGGGCAAGCGUUGUCCGGAUUUACUGGGCGUAAAGAGCGUGUAGGCGGCCAAACAGGUCCGUUGUGAAAACUGGAGGCUCAACUUCCAGACGUCGACGGAAACCGUGUGGCUAGAGUCCGGAAGAGGAGAGUGGAAUUCCGGGUGUAGCGGUGGAAUGCGUAGAGAUCCGGAAGAACACCAGUGGCGAAGGCGGUCUGCUGGGCGGUGGGGUCGCAAGACUCCAAUAGCCGACACUGAGGCGCGACAGCGUGGGGAGCAAACAGG